AAAGGAAAUGGUGCCACGAUCCUUCCCACAGCGACUUGCUCAAUUAUCAGAACACCUCAUAAGACCGGCCAUUUUCAACAAUGGGUGGCUCCUUACAAUUUUCGGCACAGCAGCUUCCAGCUCCUCAAUGCUGACUGAGAGAGAACACGGCAGAGAAAAUAAACGCAUCACUAGUUCAGAUUCUUCACAAGCAAAUACUAGCAUGUUUUACCAGAUAACUCUUGCCCUUUAGCUAACAGUGCCCCUAGUAACGACAAUCAGAUACGAGCCUUCGGUAGAGCACUAAGUCUAGAAACAGCUGGAGAAGCACUGGAUUUCUUACAAGAGACAAUGUAUGUAUAUGUAUGUAUUUGUGUAUCCUUUCACACAGCGUGACAGUGACAAGGAUGAAACAGCACCAGGAUAAUCACACACACACAUAUAUAUAGGCGGGCCGCAGUAUGUUGGCUGAGAAUUUGGCACAUUGCAAGUUUACUCCCUUAACUUGGCAUGAUAUUUCAUCUAGCUCCCUUAACUCCAAAGUGUGCAUCAACUCCAACUCCAUGUACGGUCUCAAGGUAAACAAUCUAGGCCACAACAAGCUUACAUGAACCAUCCCACUGGAGAUCGGCAACCUUGUGAGUCUUCAACAGCCUGCACACUGGAAACAAUACAGGGGGAAGAAAUACCACCUCGCAUAAAGAUUUCCUAGUGAACAACUAGUCAGUUAAGUCGAGCCAUCGAGAACCUGCUUAGUUUGUUGUUUGAGAUAAACCUGAACAUGCCUUUCAGUUUUUUCUCUUACGGCUUUGCCCGCUUUUCCCACUCUAUGUGCCCUUGUAUGCAUAGUUCUAUUUCUUCUUAGUCUGCAAACAGAAACGGUAAUGCAUCUUUUUCCUUUGCAUAAGAGUGACAGAGGGGGAAAAUAGCACAACAAAAAUAGUCAGAUGUUGAUGACAUGCAAGUCACAAUGCAUUGACAAGAGAAUUGACCAGUGAAAGCUACUUUCUUGAUUAGCUUAUGUAUCCUCAGUUUGACAGUACACUUGGAAACGGGGACAAGUAGCGUUCACAAAAGAAAAGACACAAGAGACAACCGAUACUAAUUAAGUUCAAGAACUGAAGAAGACCUCUUUGACGAGACAAUGCAAAUCAGUUUCCAAGAAACUUCCUGCAUGAAUUAUUGAGCAACUUGCCUUGCACCCAUCAAUCUAUAUAACAUAGAGAAGAACAGUACACUUGUCUACUGGAAUCAGAAAGAAGGGAGCAAAAACAGCCUUGGUAAAAAUAUGGUAGCUGCAGGUUUCCCCAUGCUUGUUCUUCUGCUCCUUGCACUUGCUGCUAGCACGGGGUCAGCACCUAUUUCACAUGCUGGAAUCGCCACAAAUAAUUCCAGUGACCACUUUGCUCUCCUCUCCUUCAAGUCGCUCAUAAGGGAUGACCCCUUGCAAGCUCUGGAGUCAUGGAGCAACCAGUCCAUGCCUAUGUGCCAAUGGCACGGCGUGGCAUGUGGCAGACGAGGACGCCACCGUGGACGGGUCGUCGCGCUGGACCUCAGCGACCUCAACCUUCUGGGUGCUAUCUCCACCUCGGUGGCCAACCUUACAUUCUUGAGGAGGCUCCGCCUCCGCAGUAACCGCCUGCAUGGUGCCGUGCCAUCAUAGCUUGGCCACCUGCGGUACCUGAAGCAUCUCAACCUGUCGAGAAACACUCUGGAUGGUGCUAUUCCGCCGUCGCUUUCACGGUGCUGGCAUCUCGAGAGCAUCAGCCUUGCUUACAACAGGCUGAAAGGGGAGGUACCACGGGAGCUUGGUGCCUUGCCCAACCUACGUUCAAUUCAGCUCUACCAGAACGAGCUCGAAGGGGAGAUACCACAUGAGCUUGGCUCCUUGUACAAUCUCAAGGUACUCAGUUUAGGCUACAACAAGCUUUCAGGAACCAUCCCUUUAGAGAUCAGCAACCUUGUUAAUCUGAAGUUUCUGCACAUCGGAAACAAUGAGCUAACAGGAGAAAUACCCCCUGGCAUAGGUAACCUUGUCAAAUUAAACGCACUCUCUCUAAGUUCAAAUCAAUUCUCUGGUUCUAUCCCAAGUUCAGUAGGAAAUCUCUCAGAACUGGCCUUUCUUAUUCUGCACACAAAUAACCUAACAGGGAGUAUUCCAUCAUUACAUAAUCUUUCAUCUCUCUCAGUGCUUGGAUUAGCAAAUAAUGACCUGACAGGAUGCAUCCCAUCUGGGUUAGGAAACCUCACAUCACUAACUUCUAUAGAUCUUCAGCACAACCAUCUAACUGGACAAAUUCCAGCAUCACUAGGGAACCUCAACUUGCUUGACAGUCUUGCUCUGUCCUUCAAUAACCUUUCAGGUCUCAUACCUCACUCCAUUGGAAACCUGCACUUCCUCUCUGAUAUUGACCUAGACAAUAAUGAAUUAGAGGGGCCAUUGCCUCCUUUGCUAUUCAAUCUUUCCUACCUCCAAGUUCUCAAUGUACAAAGCAAUUAUAACCUCAAUGGAUCUUUUCCAUUUGACAUGGGAAACAACCUUCCAAAUCUACAGCUCUUCUUUGCAAGUGAAAAUAAAUUCCAUGGUCCUAUUCCUCCCUCUUUGUGUAAUGCCUCUAUGGUUCAAAUGAUUGAGCUCGUUCAUAACUCCCUAACAGGAACAAUUCCCAAUUGCCUGGGAAGUCACAUGAAGAGCCUGUCCGUAUUAACCAUCGCCCUAAACCAGAUUCAAGCAACACAAGAUGCCGACUGGGGCUUCUUGAUCAGCCUAAGCAAUUGUAGUAAUUUGCAAAUGUUGGAUUUAGGUGAUAACAUGCUUGAAGGUGAAAUACCGAGUUCGGUAGGCACCCUCUCCAGAAAUCUAGAGUACCUUAACAUGGAAGAUAACAGCAUAACGGGAAAGAUUCCUCAAGUAAUAGCAAACUUGACCAAUCUGCACACACUUGUGCUAUAUGGUAAUCAUUUAGAGGGUACUAUUCCAACUUCUCUUGGCAAAAUGAAGGGGCUAAAUUUGUUAAUCCUAGGAAUGAAUGACUUAUCAGGGUCUAUCCCUCCAACAUUCGGCAAUCUUACACAACUAAGCGAACUUGAUCUUAGUGGCAACAUGCUUAGUGGAAGCAUACCUUCUAGUCUUAUGUGGUGUCCACUACAAAAAUUAGACCUUUCAAACAACAGCCUUGUUGGUCCAAUACCUAGGAACCUAUUCCUUAUAAACACAUUGUCCAUCUAUAUGAAAAUCCAAAAUAAUCUAUUAACCGGGGAUUUGCCUAUAGAAUUAGGUAACUUAAAGAAUAUUGGGGAACUUGAUUUCUCCAGUAAUCUAAUAUCUGGAGAGAUUCCAAUCUCCCUUGGAGAGUGCCAAACACUGCAGUAUCUGAAUGUAUCUCGGAACAACCUUCAAGGGUCAAUUCCAUCAUCAAUCGAGAAGAUGAAAGCCCUAUUGAUGCUUGAUCUUUCCCAUAAUAAUCUCUCAGGGAGCAUCCCUGAGUUCCUCGGGAGCAUGGAAGGACUUGCUGGUUUGAAUCUCUCAUUCAACAACUUGGAGGGUGAGGUUCCAACGGAUGGGAUCUUCAGCAAUGCAGCUUCUGCCUCUGCCUCAGUUAUGGGAAAUGAUGGCCUGUGUGAUGGAAUCCCUCAACUGAAGUUGCCACAUUGCUCCAAUCUCACCACCAAGAAACCAACUCAGAAACUGGCCAUAAUAUUCUCCAUAUGUGGUGCAGUUGUAUUUAUUGCAUUGGUAUUUGCACUGUCGACAUUCUACAGUAAGAGGAGGAAACUGAAAGCAAACAAGCAAACAUCAUCCAUCAACGAGCAAUAUUUGAGGGUUUCUUAUGCUGAACUGGUCAGUGCAACUAAUGGUUUUGCUUCAGAGAACCUCCUUGGUGCCGGAAGCUUCAGCUCAGUGUACAAGGGAACAAUGAUGAUGAAUGACCAGCAGGUAGUGAUUGCUGUGAAGGUGCUCAACCUCAUGCAGCGAGGUGCAUCUCAAAGCUUUGUUGCAGAAUGUGAGACCCUGAAAUGCGUUCGACAUAGGAAUCUUAUGAAGAUAGUAACGGUGUGCUCAAGCAUUGAUUUUCAAAAUCGUGACUUCAAGGCCCUUGUGUACGAAUACCUACCAAAUGGAAAUUUAGACAAAUGGCUACACCACAAUCCCAUGGAAGAUGGUGAAAAUAGGAGACUACAUUUCCGUGUGAGACUGCAGAUUGCAGUUGAUGUAGCAUUAUCACUCGAAUACCUUCACCAACAUAAGCCAAUGCCAGUUAUUCACUGUGAUCUUAAGCCAAGCAAUGUUCUCCUUGAUGGUGAAAUGGUUGCUCAUGUUGGUGACUUUGGGCUUGCAAGGUUUCUACAUCAAGGCUCAGAGGAAACAACUAGUUGGGCAUCAAUGAGAGGCACAAUAGGCUAUGCCGCUCCAGGUGAGCUUUUAGUUAUUGUAGCAUCUUAUUCUGUUCUACAACCCCCCUAGGCUUUCUUAUUACUUCACAUUUUGAUGCAACUACUUACCUUAUAAAUUGGAAAAGAACUAGAUAUGUAUUUUAACCUCUCCAUUUCAGUUUGCUCACAUUUUUCUGUCAAUUCCAGAGUAUGGACUGGGCAACGAAGUUUCAAUUCAUGGUGAUGUCUACAGCUACGGCAUACUGUUGCUGGAGAUGUUCACUGGAAGAAGGCCAACAGACAGCAAAUUUGGAGAAUCCUUGGGCAUUCACAAGUAUGUGCAAAUGGCAUUGCCAGACAGGGCAACAGAGGUCAUAGACCGACACUUACUAGCAGAGACAGAAGAUGGGGAAGAAAGCACCUCAAACUCUGACAGCAUCGUGGAUCUGAGAAUUGCUUGCAUCACUUCAGUCCUGUGCACUGGGAUUUCGUGCUCACAAGAGACACCAACGGAUCGCAUCCAAAUUGGGGGUGCUCUGAAAGAGUUGCUGGCAAUAAGAGACAGAUUUGACAAGGAGUUGUGUGCGGAAGGCGAGCCAGCAAACUAAAGCAUACGAAGCCAUUCAAGCAACCAGGACUGGUCAAUAAGGACGGCAAGCUUCCAUUUCAAUAGGCUCCAGCAAAAAGUAUUGCCGUGAUGGUAUAAAAAACUAUGUGUUUGGUGGAAUAUUUGUUGUAUUGCCGUAAUGGUAUAUCUGUAUUGUUGAAUUGUACGUAUAUAUAGUGUUGUAUAAACCAUAUGCCCUAGAAUAAGUCCAUGGUGUAGCGCAUGCGUCUGUUUGUUGUAAUAAUCAGCCAGUUAUUAAGAUUAACGUGAGGAUCAUACCGGCUGAUCCCUCUGUAAUCUGCUCAAACACCAUGGACCUAUAUAACAUGUACGUCUCCCUGCCUAACAGCAUACACUUCCAGCCCCACUUUUUUACUUUAAUAAACUGCCUUAUGUAUUCUCCACGACUGCAAUUUUUUACUGAGUAUAUGACCAGAACAAUGAACUCAUCUUAGCUAGGAGUACAAGAUUGCACGCUUUCACAUCAUUCCCUUCACGCAGUGCUUAGCUUAUUCGCUUAGAUCCUCGAUUAUCACCAGGAUCUCAUCCACGACUGGGUUCUUCUUCCCUUGGAGCUUGCAACGUGCGCAAAUCACACGUGUAAACUGGCACUAAUCGCUGAGAUGGAUUGGUAAGAAUGGAAGGAAGGAGGCGUUACCUCCGUCUUGGUGGUCGAGGACAAGCCAAGCAGCUAAGCGAGGCUGCUGCCGCAGCGGAGGAAUCUGACGGCGGAGUUCGUCGCGGCGAAGGGGGGCGGCGGGUAGAGGCGCCAACCGGCGGCCGAGUGGCGGCGGAAGUCGAGGACCCGACGAAGCAGAGAGCAGAUGUAUUUUUUUGAGGGGAAG
rnacentral:lncRNA from 1 species